UACGGAGGGUCCAAGCGUUAAUCGGAAUUACUGGGCGUAAAGCGUGCGCAGGCGGUUUGUUAAGCGAGAUGUGAAAGCCCCCGGGCUCAACCUGGGAAUUGCAUUUCGAACUGGCAAACUAGAGUCUUGUAGAGGGGGUAGAAUUCCAGGUGUAGCGGUGAAAUAGCGUAGAGAUCUGGAGGAAUACCGGUGGCGAAGGCGGCCCCCUCGGACAAAGAACUGACGCUCAGGCAUGAAAGCGUGGGGAGCAAACAGGAUUAGAUACCCCGGUAGU
rnacentral:rRNA from 1 species